AGUGAACGCUGGCGGCGUGCUUAACACAUGCAAGUCGAACGAGAAACGGAUUUAGCUUGCUAAAUUGCAGUCUAAGUGGCGCACGGGUGAGUAAUGUAUAGAUAAUAUGCCUUUUACUAAGGGAUAACAAUUGGAAACGAUUGCUAAUACCUUAUAUGCCUUUAAUACCUAAGUAUGCAAGGGAAAGAUUUAUUGGUAAAAGAUUAGUCUGUAUGGUAUCAGUUAGUUGGUGAGGUAAUGGCUCACCAAGACAAUGACGCCUAACUGGUUUGAGAGGAUGAUCAGUCACACUGGAACUGAGACACGGUCCAGACUCCUACGGGAGGCAGCAGUGGGGAAUAUUGCACAAUGGACGAAAGUCUGAUGCAGCAACGCCGCGUGGAGGAUGACACAUUUCGGUGCGUAAACUCCUUUUAUAUAGGAAGAUAAUGACGGUACUAUAUGAAUAAGCACCGGCUAACUCCGUGCCAGCCGCCGCCGUAA
rnacentral:rRNA from 1 species